GUAAUUUUCCUCUACAUCUUCUUAUCGGCAAGAGCUCACCAGACCAGAUAGACAUUUGAGCGAUACCUAACGGAGCAGUGGACGUCCCGAAAAACCAGUUGAGGACGCCAGGCAGCAGCAGGGGCAAAUCAGGUUUCCCUCAAAAACAGGAGAGUGUCAAUCGUAGACACUCACCUGGACCCAAACCGAGCUCUCGUCGAAGACAGUGUCAGCGCAAUGGAAGUGGCCGCGACGACGACGACGUCGCGUGGUCCGUUCCAGCGGGAGGUCCGCGAGUGGCAGCACGUCGAUCCCAACACCGGUGCCCUGCUGACGGGCCGGCUCGAGGCGGAUCGCUGGGUCAACGGACCGCUGAACAGCUACGGCAAGAUGGUCUCACAGAACCUGUCCUCGUCGGACGGCAGCACCCAGCACACGCAGAAAAAGCAGAUGGAGGUCCUGCAGGCCCGGACCGCGUCCGGCGGCUCACUCCAGGUGGUCCGCGCCCAAACCGUCCAAACGACCUCGUCACGCUGGUCCUCCUCCACGCUGCAUUCCGAGAUCUGCAACGGCACAACGACCAGCACCAAGUCAGCACUAACGACCAACGGCUUCUCGAGUCAUCAGCAGUUCCACAAACCGCUCAUAAAUUCUAGUAGAUUAUUGAGCAAUGCAACUGGCAGCAUCCUACACAACAGCAGCAGCAAUUCCCACAUGAGUUCGCAGAGCCCUCAGCCGACGACGGCAGCUUCAUUGCUGCUGAACGGGCACCAUCUCCAGCAGCAGCAGCAACAGGUUAGCAGUAACGGAUUCUCCGAUGUCAGUGGACUGCGGAGUGCCAGCCGGACACCGUUGGAUUGGUUCGACAAGUUUAAAGAUAUUGGGAGCAGCGUCCAUCAGCAAAACCUGCACCACAAGGAGCCGGCCGACGCUGAUAGUUUCCUUGCCCGUGGCAAAAGCAUCUCGAUCGAAGACCUCUCCACCGAACGUGACGAAACCAACUUCGAUGACGACGUCGAGCCCACGCAGUGGAAGCGAGUCAGCAAGAUCCGGCGAUCACUUCAGUUUCCAAGGAAAACCGCCCCAAAAACCAGCACCCGCCCGGCCGACCUGCCCGAGAACUCGGUCAGCGUGUGGAAGAUCCGCCAGGAGCUGGAGAACGGCCGCCGGCUCAACACCGCCAUGCGCAACAACCACAUAGACUUUGUCGCGCUGGACAACAUCCUGAAGAGCGUGGCCGAGUCGCCGGUGCCCCCGUCGGAAUCGCCGCGACCUUCUGCCACGAACACGGCUGGGAAGCCCCCGACCGCUUCUAGCUUUUUGACGGCCGAGUCGCUGAAGGAGAUCCGGGGGAAGCUGAGGCGGUUGAGCAAUGAGUCGCUGUACCGGGACGAUAUGAGUCCGGGCGAUGAGGAUGGUUCGGUGACGAUUACGGAGGUGGAGACCAGGAUGGGUCAGCUGCAGACGAGCAGUAGUUCGGAUUCGUACAAGAGUAACAGUUUGGAGUCGAACAGGAAGGGGUCGACGGAUAGUAAUUCGGAUGAUUGGCACUCGCGGCGGAAGUCGUACGGGUUUGAGCGGAUGCACCAACCGGCUGGGUUCAUGGCCAAGAUGGACUCGUCGACGGACAGUGGAAUUGGCCGGUCGACGGAUCUCAGCUCUAGCUGGUCUAGUGGUGGGAACGACGGUUCGGGUGCUCCCAGGGGGACGAUUGUGACUUUGGGAGAUCAGAAAGAAAAGUCGGCGAAUCCAGCGAUGGUCAUCAAGAUUACGAAUGAAGCUCAGGAGAGUGUUAAGUCGAGCUACCGGGACGAGGAGAUCAAGCGGCACUCGAUUGCUGUGGAUGAAACGAGUUACGUGCGCGAUAGCCUGAAAACCAUGUUCGAGAAGAAGACUUCGGUUAGUGUGAAUGGGUUUACGCACACGUUCAUCGAUGACCUGAACAAGAACAAGAAGAAGGUCGAGUUUUGCAAGACGGAGGUGCACUUUACGGCGGAUUCCGGGAGGGUAAACAUUGUGGAGACUGACGAGAAACCGCCACCAACGAACAAUUUCCGAAGAAGGCGCAGAUCAUCCGGAGGUUCUAUAGGGUCAUCGUACCUGCAGGCGAUCAACUCAGGCGUUCCCGUGACACACUUUGGCGAUCUGGAGAAGGGUGUCGUUGAAGCUGAUCUGAAGGAGAACCCGGUGUACACGGCACCCCCGACCGUGACCACCACGGUGAACAACGGCCGUCCGGAACCGGCUCCACGCAAGACUGUACCGGCGGCGUCGGACGAAAGUGACGGCCACUCGGCGGAUGAGAUAUCGUUGCGAGGCAUCCUGAAGAACAAACCCGUCAAGCCGAAGCCGUACGUGCUCGGCGAGAACCUGGACAGCAGUGAAAGUUUGUGGGGCGUCAAGUUGAGACCGGUGUCGACGGAGCUGAACUACUGGAACGGUGACUCGGACGAGAAGGCCGGCACCGCGGACGAGAAGGAGAACGGAGCGGCAUUCUCGACGAAGAUCAACCUGACGCAACCUACGUGGAAACCUGACGACUCGAUCCCAAAAUCCACUACGAAAAUCAUGAUCGAUAUGACGAAAGAUCCCGUUGAACAACCCGCGAACCCGUUGAAGUCGACCUCGUUGAUCAUGCGCACGAUGCGUUCGGCGAACCAGUUUGACGAAGCGAUGAAAAAGCUGGAACAGGCUCGCCGUGACUCGCUGGAAAGUGGCGAUGAUCAUCGAUCGGCGUUUCAGCUGAUCUCGAGCACGAUCGCCAAGUCCAGCUCGGCCAGUAGCAUUCAGAAGGACGCGACACCCAAACUGAGGGUCGCCAAGUACGCCGCUUCGCUGGACGGAGAUUUGGACGAACCCGGAGUCGCUCCAUCGACCGGCAUACGCCGUAGUUACACCAACGAGUCUCGCCUGUCGGACUUUGAGGCCUACAUCAGCAAGAACAGCAUCCGUCGGUCCAGUACGGAUGAGUUUUCUUCGGUCAGUAUGGUCUCGAGCGUAUCGAAGCCGGUGGCGGCUCCGCGGAUGAAAAAACUGACCACGUCCAGCGCGUUGAGCCAUCAGUUGACCCAACUGAAGCGGCUGUACGACGCCGCCGAUCAGUACGACAGCGAUGACAGCGCAAAAGCCGACGAAGAGGUCAAGCUUUACUUGGGGAAUUUGGGCCACAGCGGCAGUGAAGAGAAAUCUGGUGGCAGCGAACUAUCCGGAAGCUGGAGCCGACUCAAGGCGAAGCGAAACAUUCAAAAGUACCGCGAUCAGGACGUGAAGAUCACCGUCAACUCGACGUCAGAAUUUGAAAUACUGAAGCCAGCGACCAACGGAACAACGCACACAACCAUCACGACGAGCAGCAGCGAGAAGCAGAAGAACAGCAACGUAAUGUCCAUUGCCCUGAGAAGUCCAACGCCAACGAAGAAACUUUCAACGCCUAGCCCAGUGAAAACUAUCGAACCUACCCCAGUUCAGCCUCAACCGCAGCAGCAGCAGCAGCAAUUGCUUUCCCCGCACUUUAAACGAUACAUCCCGAACGCUGCUGCUGCCGGCAAGCCGAACAGCGAACAAACCACCUCGACCUCAACGAACGGCACAGCACGAAACGAAGAACGGGCCUCACUUCGGCUGUCGUCCGGCGCACGACAACUCCGCGAGCAUGAACUGUCGUUCUUCGGUGUCGCAUCGAACCAGAACCAGAGAAAGACGCAGCCAGAGGCUGCCAGAACUCCCACAAACACGGCGUUUGUCCGCUCGACGACGCUCACGUCGUCCUUCAUCAAGCGCAACUCGAUCAACAUGCACCCACUGUCCACGUCUGGAUCUUCCUCGACGAACAACUCGACCAGCAGUUCGGUGAAGCCGCCGACCUCCACCUGGCAGCUGACCAACGACAAGCCGGACCUGCUGCGGCACAGCAGCGAUGCGAUCCUCAAAACGGCCAGGAGCUCAUCCGCUGCGACGACGACGACGCUGGCGACAAGCACUUCCACGAUGUCCUCGCUCGAUCAGCAGCCACACUACGAAAAUCUAGUCAAAUCUGGCAAAUCCGAACCCAAGCCGUACGACCGGAAGCAGGACCUCAAGCGGGACGAGGAGAUCCUUGAGGAGCUAACGCGCGCAGCUGAUGAGAUUCUGAAUGUUGUCAACAACAUGUCGAAUGCUGAAAGCAACGAAAGCAUCCUCAACGAUAAAACGUCAACGAACUACAGAACCACCGGAAGUGGGGUCACGCUGGGAACGAUUCGCGAAUGCUCCACAACCAACAAGCUGAUGCGAUCGUGUGGCGUCCAGGUGUCCAAGAACUUUGACGACAGUCUGAAGCGUCACCAUCUGCAGCAGCGAACGUCGACGAGAGUUUCAUCCGCCUCCUCCAACGAGAGCCUCCCGCGACCAUCGCCAACGCGAACCACGUCCCAACGAUCCGCCAACCACCACCAACAGCCAACGCAGUCGUCCGAGUCUCGCAACGGUAGCAUCAGCAGCACCACCCGUCGCAAGUUGCUGAGCUCGGCCGUGUCCGACUCCCGCCGACUGACCCGCAUGGCCAGCAAGGAACGUCUGUACGCGUCGAACGCUAGCUCCUCAGAGGAUUUGCCCAACGUGGUGAGUGUGGAACCACCGCGGAGACCCCGACGCACCCGGUAUCACAACGGGGGUGAAAAGGACACGAGCUCGACGACAACGGGGCAGCAGCAGCAGAGAGUGAGUUCGGCCAAGAGUGUGACCUCCGAGGGGCGGCGAAGUGACGAGCAGAGAAGUGUGGCGACGAGUCGAUCGCAUCGGAGUGAACGGUCGUCGACGAGAUCGAGUAAAGUGCACACCACCGGAGGCACCCUGGUCAGCACCACCAGCACCACCGCCACCGGCAGCGUCCUGCCCAGCAUCGACCAGCAGCACCGCAUCCGCACCAAGUCCGGCGCGUCCGUCCUGACCACUACGGCUUCUUCUCUGCUAAACCCUCCAAAGCUCAAACUUUCAAUCCGACAAACGCUGGCUUAAACAAUACGUGCGCGCGAGCUAUGGCCAAAGGACGCCGCAAACCAGCGGAAACCGGUGGUGAACACGCAUUGAACGCAAAUUUUGUGAUAAGAACAGCAUAGAUCAUCCAGAAAGCAUCACCGGUGAGAGAGCAGCACAACCACACCACCACAGAGAUUCGAAGCCAGGACGUCGAAGUCAAAAACUUGGGGGAGCACAGUUGAUCGAUGGUUGUAACUUGUGUGAAAAUGAGAAAAAAGCGAAUUCGAAUUGAUACUAACAACACAGAGUCAAACAAAAAUUAAGAGUGAUUUAAACACACCCACGCACGUAUACUAAAUUUAGUAGCACUUACUAACACGGAUCUCGAAGAAUGCAGAAAAAAGUUUUGUUGUGGGAACAAACUUUGUAAAAAUGAUAUGUUUUAAGAAGAUGUUUUUUUUGUGUGCAAAAGCACCGCAGAACGCGAAACUUUAAAAAGAAACUCAACUCUCUUUACUUGAAUAGAUGCUUAAUGUAUAGAAACAGUGUUUGCUUGUUCCUAUUGUGUGGUUUGAUUCUAACUAAAUACUGAGAUUUUGCGAGAAAAAAAAAUGCUAGCCGAAAGGUCAAACGAUAAGCUGGAGAGGACUUCCUCUUGAGCGAAAAAGUAAGGGAAGUUCGCGCGCAGCGCUUUGUUCUAUUAUUACAGUAAGAAGUAUGUUUAUCAAUUUUGCUUGCCAGGACGUAACAAUCUUGAAGGGUGUUUUCUUUUUAUUUUCCGCAUUAACGCGCUACUAAUCUGACUCAGCAUGUGAGCGAAGUGAGUGAUAGAUUGAGUCGAGGGAGAAAGAGUAAUAAAAAGACAAUCAUUUUUUUUUUAUACUUAGGCUUACGAUGCACGAUUUGUACAAGGUCCUUUAUUAGUCACAACAGGGAAAAUAGCACAGAUCUUCUUUUUUUUUGUUUAUUUUGCAGUGUAUACUUAAGCGACUUAACACUCUUUUCUAUACUACAGUUUAAUAUAUAAUAUGAA
rnacentral:misc_RNA from 1 species